rnacentral:rRNA from 1 species
GAUGAACGCUGGCGGCGUGCUUAACACAUGCAAGUCGAGCGAGUGAGUUCUUCGGAACGAUCUAGCGGCGGACGGGUGAGUAACACGUGGGCAACCUGCCUCAUAGAGGGGAAUAGCCUCCCGAAAGGGAGAUUGAUACCGCAUAACAUCGUUGAAGGGCAUCCUUCUAUGAUCAAAGGAGCAAUCCGCUAUGAGAUGGGCCCGCGGCGCAUUAGCUAGUUGGUGAGGUAACGGCUCACCAAGGCGACGAUGCGUAGCCGACCUGAGAGGGUGAUCGGCCACAUUGGGACUGAGACACGGCCCAGACUCCUACGGGAGGCAGCAGUGGGGAAUAUUGCACAAUGGGGGAAACCCUGAUGCAGCAACGCCGCGUGAGUGAUGACGGCCUUCGGGUUGUAAAGCUCUGUCUUUGGGGACGAUAAUGACGGUACCCAAGGAGGAAGUCACGGCUAACUACGUGCCAGCAGCCGCCGUAA